rnacentral:tRNA from 1 species
AUCCUACUAGCUCAAUAGGUAGAGCAUUGUGCAAAGGCACAAAAGAUGUGGGUUCGAAUCCCACGUAGGUUA